rnacentral:rRNA from 1 species
AGAGCGAACGCUGGCGGCAGGCCUAACACAUGCAAGUCGAGCGCCGUAGCAAUACGGAGCGGCAGACGGGAGAGUAACACGUGGGAACGUACCCUUUGGUUCGGAACAACCCAGGGAAACUUGGGCUAAUACCGAAUAAGCCCUUACGGGGAAAGAUUUAUCGCCGAAGGAUCGGCCCGCGUCUGAUUAGCUAGUUGGUGGGGUAACGCCCACCAAGGCGACGAUCAGUAGCUGGUCUGAGAGGAUGAUCAGCCUCAUUGGGACUGAGACACGGCCCAAACUCCUACGGGAGGCAGCAGUGGGGAAUAUUGGACAAUGGGCGCAAGCCUGAUCCAGCCAUGCCGCGUGGGUGAUGAAGGCCCUAGGGUUGUAAAGCCCUUUCGCCCGCGACGAUGAUGACGGUAGCGGGAGAAGAAGCCCCGGCUAACUUCGUGCCAGCAGCCGC